rnacentral:rRNA from 1 species
AGCUCCAAUAACGUAUAUUAAAAUUCUUGCGGUUAAAAAGCUCGUAGUUGGAUUUCUGCUGAGGACGACCGGUCCGCCCUCUGGGUGAGUAUCUGGCUUGGCCUUGGCAUCUUCUUGGAGAACGUAGCUGCACUUGACUGUGUGGUGCGGUAUCCAGGACUUCUACUUUGAGGAAAUUAGAGUGUUUCAAGCAGGCACACGCCUUGAAUACAUUAGCAUGGAAUAAUAAGAUAGGACCUUGGUUCUAUUUUGUUUGUUUCUAGAGCUGAGGUAAUGAUUAAUAGGGAUAGUUGGGGGCAUUCGUAUUUAACUGUCAGAGGUGAAAUUCUUGGAUCUGUUAAAGACAGACUACCGCGAAAGCAUUUGCCAAGGAUGUUUUCAUUG